rnacentral:rRNA from 1 species
AUGUGGAAACAUCAAUCGGUAUCGCCCUUACACACGACUUUUUUUCAGUUUGCAUUUAUACAUUUGUUAAAACAAAAUGGUUCUUCAGGAAAUCAUUCUCGUGAAGGCACUUACUAUGAUCACCAUGCAUCACUUCGAGGAACAGAGAGAAGCAUUGAUCAUAAUAUUGGUUCAGACAUAGCACUUGGACUCGACACUGAAGACACUGUCCCCGAGCACAUUGCUUCAAAUGAUAUCAUUAAAUCAGAUAGAAAACAGAAAAGGCGAGACCAAUAUAUGGCACGGCGAAAUAGAUUAACACCUGAACAGAAGGAGGAAAUCAAUGCACGUCGCAGAGAAGCUAGGAAAAAAACAGAGGAGGAGAGGAGUGCCCGUCAAAGAGAAGCCAAGCAACGAAUGACACCAGAGGAGAAGCAACAGAGUAACACCCUUAGAAGGGUGGCCUACCAAAAUAUGUCAGUCCAUGACAACCAAGAGACAAACACCCGCCGAAGAACACGUCUGCAAAACAAAUCACCUAAGGAGAAGCAGAACAUGCUAGCUCAGCGCAAGAAGAGACUCGCGGCUAGGCGCAACACCCCUUGCGCUGAAUCCAUCGCAAUGCCGCGCCCUGAUGCAGGUACCUUAGCUACACCCAACCUGAUGUCGAGCACUCAUGCGUUGGCAUUCAGAGAAUCCAAAGCUUCAGCUCCCGCCCCUACCCCCCGGUUUGCGAGUAAGGCUGGGAACAACUUCGAAUCAGACGGUAAUCCUUCCAUCUUUACUCUACUUGUUCUGUCCAUGUGCAUUGAACCAGUAUUUAACGGCUCCACAACGGUGCAGGCGAGUACCUUAGUCAUGCCCUGGAUGAUAAUGAUGCCCCCAGCGAACUCAUAA